UUUUUUCAGUAACACAUCUGUCAGCCCGGAUAUGAGCCUAGAUUACAUGUAAGUAUAUGGAUAUAAUGUAUAUAGGUCUACAUGUAUAUUUGAGUCACAGGUCGAUUUUGCAUCAUUCUUUCUGUCUACUGCAGUUCCAGUUGUAGAUAACUGGUCUUUUGAUGUCCAGCAGAUUUCUCUUUUUCUUUAGUGAAGACCAUCACCUGCAGGGUAGCCUGCAGGGUAAUUCUCAGCAGACAAGCACUUACUGUCUCCUCAUUUACUAAUGUUUAACACCCUUCUUAACUUUUACUUUUAAUUUCAAACUCAAUCCACAUGCCGAUAGGAGUGUCUUUGGACUUCACUAAUUAAGAUAGUCCCAAAGGCGAAUAUUGUAGUUAAUAAGGGAGCUCAAAUCAUUGUUCACUGAUGAAAUAACUUACCACAAAUCAUGAUAGUAUUUUACAAUUAAACAAAUGAGACCAGAAAGUUGGGUGGAAUUUUUAAAUUAAGCUGAGACCAUUUUCAUUCACCGAUAAAGUUCAUUAGAAAAAAAAUAAUGCAAGAACUUAGUGAUUUUACAAAUUUUUGUGAUUUAAUACUUAUUUUUGAGCUUGUUCCUACUGCAUGACAUGGAGUACAGUGUAACAGGAUGCUCUUAGCCACAAGCAACACUAAAUUCUGACUCACUUUGCUUGAAAAGAAAAUCAUUUUUACCAUCAUAUAAAGGCAGCCGCAGGAUUAAUUAAGUCAGUAGCCUAACAAUGUCAUCAAGGACCCAGUUUCUUUCCAUCUUUCUUUCUUGACACGUUUGGUGUAUCAGUUUAACUCACCCAAUGGCUCCAAGAGAACUAACAAAAUUCCAGGCCUUGCAAGAAUACUUUCAUCAGAAAACCUUUUAGCCCCCAUAUAUGAUGGUCAGUUUUAUGUGUCAAUUUAACAGGGCUAUAGUACUCAGUUUUAUGGUCAAACACUAACCUAGGUGUUUCCCUGAAGGUAUUUUGUACAAGUGACUAGCAUCUACAAUAAGUUAUGUAAUGGAGAUUAUCAGGAAUAAUCAGUGAGAUUCAUCCAAUUACCUGAAAGGCCUUCAGAAUGACCAUGAAUAUUCCCUGAGGAAGGAAGAAAUUCUACCUGCAAACUGCAGAAUCAGCUCCUGACCGAGAGAUUCCAGCCUGUAUUUCCUGACAGCCUUCCCUAUACAUUUUUUACUUCCUUAGACAACCCUUACAAUUACGUAACCCAAUUCUUUACAAUAAAUCUCAUUUGUAUAUUUUGCUCGUUUUGUUCUUUUCCUCUGAUGGAACCCAGACUGACAUGCCAUACUUUUAUCCGGAAU
rnacentral:lncRNA from 1 species